rnacentral:lncRNA from 1 species
CUUGACCCUAUUCCAAGGGAUAUUGGUAAUAGUUUUGCAUGACAAUGUGGGAUUUUUCCUUUUAAACAACAAUGAUUACUCUCCUUUCUUUUAUAUUUUAAUUCAUUUAAUAAUUACUCCAACACAUUUCUCUUCCUUCAGGGUCUUACACAUACACUUUUCCGUCAAUCAAAUAAACGUGACUGACAAUAUAUUUCCGGCGUCAGUGGCUGUUUUCUAAGAUAACCCUACAUCAUUUCUGAGAGCCUAGUGCAAGAAUUACAAAAUCCUCAUGUCCCGACGUAUCACGUUACAACCCUGAAACCAUAGUGAGGUUUUCAGGUGGCAUUCAUUAACUUGAGCAAUUGCAUUUCUUUGGAAAUGGACGUUACUUAGGUAGCUUUUAGACACAAAUACUGGCAAACUAAGAUAUUACCUGCAUUUCCCUUAUGAUGCUAAGAAAUCUUGUUUAGAAAUACAUGCAUGAUUGUGUGUUUUCUCUCAGCUAGGAUGAUGGCUCAGUUCAAGGAUGAUUGGAGGAGAGAACAGUUCCAGAAUGAUGAUCUUCAAAAGAAAGUCGGUAAGUAUCUCUGAUGACCUCUUUGUUUCCACAGCCUGUACUAAACAAUCAGGUUUUUGGUUCUUUCGGCACCCCCUCUCUUCUUCCCUAUAUGCCAUCUUUUGGCUCACAUGUCAUCUCCAUGUCUUCCCUCUCCUCCCUCAAGGUUUCUGUUUAUGGACGUCUCCCACCUUAAGUUCUCUCCGUUUCUUUUACCCGAGACCUGAUUCCUUCUCAGUGCUUCCCACUUCAUUUCACAGGGCCCUUCCUGUAAACAUGGUCUUAACUCUGGCAUCCAGAGCCUUGGCAGGUUCGUUUUGAUUUUGUGAGAAGAAGGGGAGAGACUGAUGGACAUGUGGCUUCUGUUCCACGUUUAGCUUCUGGAACACUUCCAAUAACGUAGACUCUCUGUCAUACAGCAAAGUUCAAGGGGCCAUUCUCAUGCCAUUGAUGCCUCCCCAAAGCUUAUGAAAUAAAACAAGGCUGCAAAUUUGCUGAGUGAUGUUU